UACGGUUAAAUCACGCUGAAACACCGGUUCUCGUUCGAAGUUAAGCAUCGUAGAGCCAGGUCAGUACUUAGAUGGGGGACAGAUUGGGAACACCUGGUACUGUAAGC
rnacentral:rRNA from 1 species